GGAGGGUGCAAGCGUUGUCCGGAUUUAUUGGGGUUUAAAGGGGUGCGUAGGCGGCCUAUUAAGUCAGUGGUGAAAGGUAUCAGCUUAACUGAUGACGUGCCAUUGAAACUGACAGGCUUGAGUACAGACGAGGUAGGCGGAAUUUAUGGUGUAGCGGUGAAAUGCAUAGAUACCAUAAAGAACACCAAUUGCGAAGGCAGCUUACUAGACUGAGACUGACGCUGAGGCACGAAAGCGUGGGGAGCGAACAGGAUUAGAUACCCUGGUAGUCCACGCUGUAAACGAUGAUUACUGGAUGUGUGCGAUAGACAGUACGCGUCUGAGCGAAAGCGUUAAGUAAUCCACCUGGGGAGUACGAUCGCAAGAUUG
rnacentral:rRNA from 1 species